rnacentral:lncRNA from 12 species
UGCCCUGGAGCAAGCAAAAUGUUGCCGGUAGCGUCUAGAAGGAAGAACCCACCGGCCCUCACCUAGCCCCGCAGGGCAAAGCUGAGCAAAGGGCAAAGCCCGUGAGAUCCUUGGAACCUCGGCUACUAUUUUUCUCUUCCACCUAAAGGGUUGGUAAUCCAGUGCCCUUGUUUUUAAGCCCGGGAGUCUGCAGAUUGUUGGAUUUUGAAGAGGAGGAGGAUAUAAACAUCAAGGAUUAGAGGACAGGAGAGGCCGAAGGAAGAGCAGAGAGACUGCCAAUGCGUCUGCCGACGGCAGAGCUUUUGAUGAAGCAUUUUAAAGGUCUGGGCAGUUAAGAAGCGGUUUUUAAAGUCUGAAUGGAGAUGAAGUUGGUGGAGAA